rnacentral:rRNA from 1 species
UACAGAGGGCUCAAGCGUUGUUCGGAUUCAUUGGGCGUAAAGGGUGCGUAGGUGGCGCGCUAAGUCAGGUGUGAAAUUUCGGAGCUUAACUCCGAAACUGCAUUUGAUACUGGCGUGCUUGAGGACUGGAGAGGAGACUGGAAUUCAUGGUGUAGCAGUGAAAUGCGUAGAUAUCGGGAGGAACACCAGUGGCGCAAGCGGCUGCCUGGGCAUGACCUGACACUGAGCCACGACGGCGUGGGGAGCAAACGGG